ensembl:lncRNA
CAUAACCCCACCACUGGUCCAGUGCUGUCUGUGCUGUGCUGUGGUAAUACCACAAGCUCCUGAAGGAGGUCAGCAGCCAUUAUAGACACCGGACAACUAGCACAUGUCAUGAAAGGUUCUUCCCCCAAUGGCUUCUCACCCAUAAAUGUUAAAAGAGGAGGUAAAAGUGUGUGUAAGAAUGAGAAAAGGAGAGACCACACUGAAUGGCAGCAGGAGCAGAGGUACACCAGUGUGCACAGAGCCAUUUUGAACAUCGGUGCCUUCAACAUCCACCGGAGGAGCAGCCUCAGAAGCUCUUCUGACCUUCCUGGAGCUCUGACGCCCCAGGCAGUGUGUGCUUAGAAAGCUGCAGUGAGUGAGCUCGGCUGGUACUGCCCUUAGCCGGGGAUGUGAGGUGCAAGCAGCCAUGAAAACUAACUUGCCAGCACUCAGACUGAAUCUGCGAUCUGAAAACACUGUUAGUGAGAGAGCUGCUGAGGAGCCCUGAGCCAAUCCUGGCUCUGAACCUGUGCUGCUUUGGAGAGCAAAACUUGAGGAGGGCGAUUCUAAAAAGGGAGCGAUUCUAGGAGAAGGGAUGGACUAAAUCAUGAAGGUAGUUGCACAAAUACACCCAGGCAUCUCUGAAUGUGUGGUAGCACAUUCAUACAAAGCCUAGAGGAGACAGUUACCUGUCUCCUUCCAGACUCCACGGACCUACAGGGGUACAUCUGCCUGCCUUUUAGUACUGUUCUGCCUCUCGAGUGAGGGUACUGCUCAUCAGUGCCGAGAGACUGACAGAACUCAGAAUGGGCCUGAUAAUGGGGUUUGGUUACGUUGGAUGCCUUUGGCAACUGAUGCAGCAAAUAAGGAACUGAGUCCCAUAUGGUCACACAGACUUUCUGCAUGGUUUCAAGAGUCUAUGCGAUUUUACAGAUGUGUUUUCAGCGAACAUAUGUCGUACAAAUGGCUAAUGAAAG